rnacentral:rRNA from 1 species
AUUGAACGCUGGCGGCAUGCCUUACACGUGCAAGUCGAACGGCAGCACGGGAGCAAUCCUGGUGGCGAGUGGCGAACGGGUGAGUAAUAUAUCGGAACGUGCCCGGUCGUGGGGGAUAACGUAGCGAAAGCUACGCUAAUACCGCAUACGAUCUACGGAUGAAAGCGGGGGAUCGCAAGACCUCGCGCGAUUGGAGCGGCCGAUAUCAGAUUAGGUAGUUGGUGAGGUAAAGGCUCACCAAGCCGACGAUCUGUAGCUGGUCUGAGAGGACGACCAGCCACACUGGGACUGAGACACGGCCCAGAUUCCUACGGGAGGCAGCAGUGGGGAAUUUU